CUCUCAGAGCGGUUGGGCCAAGAAAGUUUACACCUCCGCCCUGCGCCAAACCACCACUUUUCGCCUCCCUCGGAGCCCGCUGUGGAAGAGUCAACCCCGUGUCGUGGUGACGGGAGGGCGGCUGAGAGUUCAGGGAUUUUGCAGGACAGCCUGGAAGUCAGGGGAGGCUGCGGUUCGCAGUGUGAGGGAACAACCCUUCUUCAGAGCUUCUCUCCUCCUCCUCAUUCAACCUUCGCCUGAGGGUUUAUUAUUGCAGACUCUUCCCUUGCCUCAAUUUACAGCCCAACUCGUGAAAGAGGCGGGGAAAGCUGGAGUGAAGGUGGGGGGGAGAGCUGUGGAGCCAGCAGCUUUCUGUCGUUUCCCAAAGCCAGCAGAGAUUGGAGAGGAGGGGCAGAGGCUGGUCGUCUGAGUUCAGGCCGGUGGGGAGAGUUGCAAAGUUUACUCUUCUGAGAGACCAGAGGGGGAAAGGCUGGUGCUCCAAGCAGCUAGUCCAGAGAGCUCCAUCCACCCUCUGAUCAGAAGCUCCAGGGAGCUGCCCGGCAUGAGAGUCUCAUAAAGGAGUUCUGUGCAACAAGGAACAAACUUCACCAGCGCCUGAAAGUUUCCUAUGCGGCUGCCCUGCCUGCCAACAUGAAAGACGAUUUUGCAGAAGAAGAGGAGGUUCAGUCCUUUGGCUAUAAGAGGUUUGCUGCUGUCAUUUGGUGAGUUAGCAGCAGUUUCAUGACAAAAAGCAAAUAUUGGGAAGAAAGUGAAAGAAUUUGACUCAAUUCUUGUCAUGGAAUGAUGGAAUGGUGUCUGAGCUAUGAAUAAGAGAGAGAGAGAGAAAAUACUGUCUUCUUCAGAAGUAGAAUGAAACAACAGAUAAAGGUAACAUCCUUCCAUUCAUUGUUGAUCUCUGAAGUGAAGCAGAUCUGAAAGAAGUGUGGUGGCAACUUGACACAGCCAUAUGUGUGUUGGGAUGCCAGCGUAAAUAUGGAGAAAAGCAGUUCCAUUCACAAGAAGCAGAAUGCCUGAUGUGUUAAAAAGGGUAGAAUGUUGAUGUAUGGAAAUUCAAAAUAGGGUCUGCUACAAUCAUUGCAUGGCCAGCUGCAGAGUUCCCCCACCCCGGUAUUGAAAAGGGGUAAAUGAAUGGAUGAAACAGCUGUCUGGGAUUUAAAAUGGUGGAAUUGUCAGCAGCAUUAGCAGACAACAGCUAACUCCUUGGAGGGUGUCUAUAAAAAUCAUCAUCCAUUUAUUAUCUGAUGAAUCAUUAUGGGAUAAUCCAGGGUGGGGUAUGCUCUUCAUAGCAUCCUCUAAAUUGCUGUCAUAGUGAUGAUUGUCUUCAUAAUGGUCAAAACUUAAUGGAGAGCUCUCAAUCAUUAUUAAGUGCAUUGCAUUCCCGUUGUUUCCUUUACAGAACUUUGUGGCUUUAUGACCUUUGCCAGGGGUGGGGAUGAAGAUGAGUUCAGAAUCAAGCGCAUAAUUCUCAUGGUCAUGGAGAAGAAUGGGGCAGCUGUGUGUACCAUGCACUGUUUUCCAACCAGCGGUUCUUGACCCCAUGGGUGUCACAGGUUGGGUUGGGGGGAAAAUUAAAACGAUGUACAAAACCAAAGUUUAUAUUUACACACAUAUAUUUUAAUAUAGGAGUACAACAUUCUUUUUCAGUCCUUCAAGAAGAUACGUGUG